GGGGAAUCUUGCACAAUGGAGGAAACUCUGAUGCAGCGAUGCCGCGUGAGUGAAGAAGGCCUUUGGGUUGUAAAGCUCUUUCGUCGGGGAAGAAAAUGACUGUACCCGAAUAAGAAGGUCCGGCUAACUUCGUGCCAGCAGCCGCGGUAAUACGAAGGGACCUAGCGUAGUUCGGAAUUACUGGGCUUAAAGAGUUCGUAGGUGGUUAAAAAAGUUGGUGGUGAAAUCCCAGAGCUUAACUCUGGAACUGCCAUCAAAACUUUUUAGCUAGAGUAUGAUAGAGGAAAGCAGAAUUUCUAGUGUAGAGGUGAAAUUCGUAGAUAUUAGAAAGAAUACCAAUUGCGAAGGCAGCUUUCUGGAUCAUUACUGACACUGAGGAACGAAAGCAUGGGUAGCGAAG
rnacentral:rRNA from 1 species